rnacentral:misc_RNA from 1 species
GAAAUGCGAUAAGUAAUGUGAAUUGCAGAAUUCAGUGAAUCAUCGAAUCUUUGAACGCACCUUGCUCUCCUUGGUAUUCCUUGGAGCAUGCCUGUUUGAGUAUCAUGAAAUCUUCAAAGUAAAUCUUUUGUUAACUCAAUUGGUUUCUACUUUGGUAUUGGAGGUCUUUGCAGCUUCACACCUGCUCCUCUUUGUUCAUUAGCUGGAUCUCAGUGUUAUGCUUGGUUCCACUCGGCGUGAUAAGUUAUCUAUCGCUGAGGACACUGUAAAAGGUGGCCAAGGUAAAUGCAGAUGAACCGCUUCUAAUAGUCCAUUGACUUGGACAAUACUUUUAUGAUCUGAUCUCAAAUCAGGUAGGACUACCCGCUGAACUUAAGA